GACGAACGCUGGCGGCGUGCCUAAUACAUGCAAGUAGAACGCACAGUUUAUACCGUAGCUUGCUACACCAUAGACUGUGAGUUGCGAACGGGUGAGUAACGCGUAGGUAACCUGCCUGGUAGCGGGGGAUAACUAUUGGAAACGAUAGCUAAUACCGCAUAAUAUUAAUUAUUGCAUGAUAAUUAAUUGAAAGGUGCAAUUGCACCACUACCAGAUGGACCUGCGUUGUAUUAGCUAGUAGGUGAGGUAACGGCUCACCUAGGCGACGAUACAUAGCCGACCUGAGAGGGUGAUCGGCCACACUGGGACUGAGACACGGCCCAGACUCCUACGGGAGGCAGCAAUAGGGAAUCUUCGGCAAUGGACGAAAGUCUGACCGAGCAACGCCGCGUGAGUGAAGAAGGUUUUCGGAUCGUAAAGCUCUGUUGUAAGAGAAGAACGGGUGUGAGAGUGGAAAGUUCACACUGUGACGGUAUCUUACCAGAAAGGGACGGCUAACUACGUG
rnacentral:rRNA from 1 species